UUCCGGUUGAUCCCGCCGGACCUGACUGCUAUCGGAUUGAUACUAAGCCAUGCGAGUCUUUGUAGUAAUACAAGGCAGACGGCUCAGUAACGCGUAGUCAACCUACCCUAUGGACGGGAAUAAUCUCGGGAAACUGAGCAUAAUACCCGGCGUACCACCAUUCCUGGAAUGGUUGGUGGUUAAAAUGAUUCGUCGCCGUAGGAUGGGACUGCGACCUAUCAGCUUGUUGGUGAGGUAAAGGCCCACCAAGGCGAUUACAGGUACGGGCUCUGAGAGGAGAAGCCCGGAGAUGGGUACUGAGACACGGACCCAGGCCCUAUGGGGCGCAGCAGGCGAGAAAACUUUGCAAUGUGCGAAAGCACGACAAGGUUAAUCCGAGUGAUUUCUGCUAAAGGAAUCUUUUGCCAGUUCUAAAAAUACUAGUGAAUAAGGGGUGGGCAAGUUCUGGUGUCAGCCGCCGCGGUAAAACCAGCACCUCAAGUGGUCAGGAGGAUUAUUGGGCCUAAAGCAUCCGUAGCCUGCUCUGUAAGUUUUCGGUUAAAUCUAUAUGCUCAACAUAUAGGCUGCCGAAAAUACUGCAGUGCUAGGAAGUGGGAGAGGUAGACGGUACUUGAUAGGAAGGGGUAAAAUCCUUUGAUCUAUCGAUGACCACCUGUGGCGAAGGCGGUCUACCAGAACACGUUCGACGGUGAGGGAUGAAAGCUGGGGGAGCAAACCGGAUUAGAUACCCGGGUAGUCCCAGCUGUAAACGAUGCAGACUCGAUGAUGCAUUGGCAUAUAGCCAGUGCAGUGUCGCAGGGAAGCCGUUAAGUCUGCCGCCUGGGAAGUACGUACGCAAGUAUGAAACUUAAAGGAAUUGGCGGGGGAGCACCACAAGGGGUGAAGCCUGCGGUUCAAUUGGAUUCAACGCCGGA
rnacentral:rRNA from 1 species